CGGUCCGGUCCCCGCUCCCGCGGACAGCUGGCUGGGAGCGCGCACCGCUCAGCCUGGCGCCCUGUGUGCAGGGCCGGCUCUCCCCGCAGCUCCUGCGCCGGGAAACCAGCUCGCCCCAAACCGUUAGGAGCCCGCCGAUGCCCACCAAAGAUUCCCUCCAGCUUGAUGCCUUCCCGGUAAAAAUGCAACCCCGACAGCUUUGGGGAAAAGAGGAUUCGAUUCCAGACGCUGAAAAGAAUGUGUCCACUAGGGGUCACCCAGCCCCUUAGCAAGCAGUAAGGAAUUGGCAGCGCACAAGGCACCUGGUAGGAUUGCACUUCCACGGCCCUCUUGAAACACACAGAAAUACUACUUAACUUCCCAUCAGCUUAAAAAGCUAGACUCAGCAUAAAUAUAACUCUUUAUUAGGCAGAACUGGCUCAAAUAAAAGAAACUUCCUUGUUCUAACAAGUCAAAAGGGAGAAGAGGAAUUCAUGUAAGCAUACAGAGGAAUCGUCGGGGAAUCCAAUGACCGAGAUCCAGCCAGGCCUUAGAAACCAACUAAAACCAGGCACUCCAUUUCACUGGGACUUGAUCUCCAUCCCUGGGUCUGUUCUCUGCCCUUCUGAGGGGCUUCUAAGAAUCCACAUUUCUCUCAAGUAGCUUGUUACUGUUUCUCUUUUCUUCCCUCCUGGACCAUAGGUUCCUUGAAAGCAGAACUGUGCCUUUAUUUUUCCAUCCUCAAUACAACCAACAGAGCUUACAGGAGCCCGGAGCGGGGGGGAGGGGCAGACAAGUAACUUGACCCUUAAUAUACAACCCAGCAGGUAUUGAAACAGGCAUUUUCAAGGUGUUUUAGGAGCCAGAGGAGGAAGCAGCCCCAUUUCUGUUGGGCAGUCAGGAAGACGCAGAAAUGACCCCUGGCUGCUGCUGCUGCUUGUCCUCUGAUUGGGAUGGGGGGGAGUCUCCCAAAGGAAAAUACCACAAAAAAGCAGAGAAUCUCUUUAAGAGCUUCCCAACCCUCUAGCUCUCCAGCGAAAUGAAGAGGGAACACCCUGUGUCUUUCUACACAUCCCUGGAAGGGACAAGUCAUAAAGCAGAGACCCUAGUGGCCGACUCCUGACUCAUUCCAGCCAUUCCAGCUUUACUCCAGUUCCCUCUCCCAUCUUCAGGGCAUGGAACAGCUUCUUGCCUCAGCCUAGCGGGUUUUCCUCAUCCUCGUCCUUUUGACUCACCUCUCAAGAGCUUUAAGGUUUCAACUUCCACCUCACUUUUUGGGAGGAGGCGGCUCCCCACUCCCCCUCCGUUAGGGUAAACCAGCCCUAUUGCCAUGUGCUCCCAGAGCAGCCUGUCCUUCCUCCUUCUGGGCUGCCCUGUGGGAAGGUGGCCUCCAGCAGCCUGCCAUUGGUGACAGCAGGGACCACUUCCUCUUGUUCCUGCCUGUGCCCAGGGCUUGGCACAGAACCUGGCACCUUGGAGGUG